UACGUAGGUGGCAAGCGUUGUCCGGAUUUAUUGGGCUUAAAGGGCGCGUAGGCGGUCUUAUAAGUCAGUGCUGAAAUAUCCCGGCUUAACCGAGGAACUGCCUGUCAGACUGGGUUGCUUGAGGCCGGGAGAGGCGGGUGGAAUUCCCAGUGUAGCGGUGAAAUGCGUAGAUAUUGGGAGGAACACCAGUGGCGAAGGCGGCUCGCUGGACCGGAACUGACGCUGAGGCGCGAAAGCGUGGGGAGCAAACAGG
rnacentral:rRNA from 1 species